rnacentral:rRNA from 1 species
CGAAAGCCUGACGGAGCAAUACCGCGUGCGGGAGGAAGGCCCUUGGGUCGUAAACCGCUUUUCUUAGGGAAGAAACCUGACGGUACCUAAGGAAUAAGCAUCGGCUAACUCUGUGCCAGCAGCCGCGGUAAUACAGAGGAUGCAAGCGUUAUCCGGAAUCACUGGGCAUAAAGCGUCUGUAGGUGGUUUGAUAAGUCUGCUGUUAAAGACUAGGGCUUAACCCUAGGAAAGCAGUGGAAACUAUUAGACUUGAGUAUGGUAGAGGUAGAGGGAAUUCCUAGUGUAGCGGUGAAAUGCGUAGAUAUUAGGAAGAACACCAAUGGCGAAAGCACUCUGCUGGGCCACAACUGACACUGAGAGACGACAGCUAGGGGAGCA